CAGUAUAGAUAUUAAUGACAGAUUCCCCCGUGAUUUCCUUUCUGAAAUAUUCUCCAGAGGGAUACCUGCUGAGGAUACAUCUGGCGUUAACCCAAUUCACAAAGAUGGAGCUGGCGUGAGUGUGAACAUGGAAAAUCAUGAGCCCAAGCGCUGGUCAUAUUUUCAGAAGUUGGCACAGGAAGGGUUUGUUCAAAAAAAUGCUUCUUCUACUGACAAGGAUCGUCUUGGUACUCCAUCUGCAAUUUCAAAAGCUGAAGAAGGAGAUCAGAUAUCUUAUCAUCAAACACCUUUGACAACUGAUGGAAUGUCAAUAGACCAUGAGUAUUCCCAAAUCAAUUUUGGUGAAGACAUUAAGAAAAAUUUGCCAGAAAUGGUUGGAGCUGAAUCUACAAUGCUUUCAGAUUUUGUUCAUUCUCCAGUGAAAAACAGUGAAAGUAUGCAAUUUGAUGUUAUGACGGAGAACCUAAAGUCACCAGAUUCAUGCUAUGAGGGUGCUGAGUUGGAAAGCAGGAAUGCUGGCCUACGCCUACCUCCUCUUGAUCCAUCUCUGGUAGAUUUUGACAUCAAUACUUUUCAGGUCAUAAAAAAUGAAGAUCUUGAAGAGCUGAGAGAACUGGGUUCUGGUACUUUUGGGACUGUAUACUAUGGAAAAUGGAGGGGAUCAGAUG
rnacentral:misc_RNA from 1 species